GACGAACGCUGGCGGCGCGCUUAACACAUGCAAGUCGAGCGAGAACCGGGCCUUCGGGCCUGGGAAAGCGGCGAACGGGUGAGUAACACGUGGGCAACCCACCCUCGGUAUCCGGAUAGCCCGAGGAAACUCGGAUUAAUACGGAAUGGCCCAACAGCUCUUCGGGGCGGUUGGAAAAGGUAGCUUCGGCCUCCGACCAAGGACGGGCCCGCGGUGGAUUAGCUUGUUGGUGGGGUAAGUGGCCUACCAAGGCGACGAUCCAUAGCUGGUCUGAGAGGACGAUCAGCCACACUGGGACUGAGACACGGCCCAGACUCCUACGGGAGGCAGCAGUGGGGAAUUUUGGACAAUGGGCGCAAGCCUGAUCC
rnacentral:rRNA from 1 species